rnacentral:rRNA from 1 species
GAUGAACGCUGGCGGCGUGCCUAACACAUGCAAGUCGAACGGAGGCCGGCCUUUAAGACCUUCGGGUAAAAGCGGGGAAGACUGAGAGGCGGACGGGUGAGUAACACGUGGGCAACCUGGGUCAUAGAGGGGGAUAAAAGAGAGAAAUCUCUGCUAAUACCGCAUAAGGACACCCUGCCACAUGGCAGAGGGAGAAAAGAGAAUCGCGAUGGGAUGGACCCGCGUCUGAUUGGCCAGUUGGGAGGGGAAGAGCCUACCAAAGCGAAGAUCAGCACCCUAGCUGUGAGGAUGGGCGGCCACUUUGGGGCUGGGACGCGGCCCGAACUCCUACGGGAGGCGGCAGUGGGGGAUAUUGCACAAUGGCGUGAACCCUGAAGCAGCGACGCCGCGUGAGUGAAGAAGUAUUUCGGUAUGUAAAGCACUAUCAGCAGGGAAUAUAAUGACGGUACCUGAAGAAGAAGCCCCGGCUAACUACGUG